rnacentral:rRNA from 1 species
CAGUAGCCGCGGGAAAACGUAGGGUGCAAGCGUUAAUCGGAAUUACUGGGCGUAAAGCGUGCGCAGGCGGUUUGUUAAGACAGAUGUGAAAUCCCCGGGCUCAACCUGGGAACUGCAUUUGUGACUGGCAAGCUAGAGUGUGGCAGAGGGGGGUGGAAUUCCGCGUGUAGCAGUGAAAUGCGUAGAUAUGCGGAGGAACACCGAUGGCGAAGGCAGCCCCCUGGGACAACACUGACGCUGAGGCACGAAAGCGUGGGGAGCAAACAGGAUUAGAUACCCGCGUAGUCCCUGUCUCUUAUAC